rnacentral:rRNA from 1 species
CCUACGGGAGGCAGCAGUGGGGAAUAUUGCACAAUGGGGGAAACCCUGAUGCAGCGACGCCGCGUGAGUGAAGAAGUAAUUCGUUAUGUAAAGCUCUAUCAGCAGGGAAGAAAAUGACGGUACCUGAGUAAGAAGCCCCGGCUAACUACGUGCCAGCAGCCGCGGUACUACGUAGGGGGCAAGCGUUAUCCGGAUUUACUGGGUGUAAAGGGAGCGUAGACGGCAGUGCAAGUCUGGAGUGAAAGGCGGGGGCUCAACCCCCGGACUGCUCUGGAAACUGUACGGCUGGAGUGCAGGAGAGGUAAGUGGAAUGCCUAGUGUAGCGGUGAAAUGCGUAGAUAUUAGGAGGAACACCAGUGGCGAAGGCGGCUUACUGGACUGUAACUGACGUUGAGGCUCGAAAGCGUGGGGAGCAAACAGGAUUAGAUACCCCAGUAGUC